AUGAAAUCCAUCUAGUCGAGCCUACAGUUAACAGACAAAAAAAAUUUGAAACUAGAAUUGGUGGGGUGCGCCAGGCCAGUACUGUAGUGCAACGCACAGGCGACGCGCGUGGAUCCCAGUAGCAAGCUACUGUAAUGGACCCACCCCCUUAAAAAAUUAAUUUAAUAUCGAGUGGACCAUUGGUCCACGUAUCAGAUAUUAAACUGAU
rnacentral:misc_RNA from 1 species